rnacentral:lncRNA from 1 species
UCCCAUUUUAGAGAAACAACUUAUAAUCACAUUCUCAGGUCCUUUGGGGAUCUAGAGUGGUGGGAUCAUGUUGCCCAUGAAGCUACGUUGGAGCUAAUAGGAGUGCUCCCUGUUGAGAAGGAGAUUUCAAAGUGAAGAAACAGAUUGAAAGAGCCUCUACCACUUCAGCAUAGCCUGCUCCAUCUCAACCUUAUUCAUGUCAGUAUAAUAGGUUAUUAUUAAAGGCUUCCUGAAGCUUAUGGUCUAUUUGAGAACGAUGAGGUAUUCACCGCCUGCCAAUCAUGCUCUUCACAAUUAGGAAGUUUAUGCCUCAGUUAAUGGUUUUUCUUUUCCUCAUGAUGUAACAAGAGAAUUUAUCCUGAUGAUGUAAACCUAGAGAUACUACUGGUAGCCAUUUUUAUCACCAAGUGAUAACAGAGAUGGCCUGAGAAUGAAGCCAAGAAAGAGCACCACAGAACUAAGAGAAAGAACAGCUUCUGGAUACCUGAACAUGUGGAAGUUCCUGGAGGGUGGUGCACCCAGGAACUUGCACAUGUUCCAAGCAAGAGAAAGCAUGGAAACUCUGCACCCCUUCCCCUCAUUCCUCACCCUAGUAUCUCUUCAUCUGUAUCCUUUGCAAUAUCCUUUAUAAU